rnacentral:rRNA from 1 species
UACAGAGGGUGCAAACGUUGCUCGGAAUCAUUGGGCGUAAAGCGCACGUAGGCGGCCUGAUAAGUCGGUAGUGAAAGCCCUCGGCUUAACCGAGGAAGUGCUAUCGAGACUGCCAGGCUUGAGUACCGGAGAGGAUCGCGGAAUUCCCGGUGUAGAGGUGAAAUUCGUAGAUAUCGGGAGGAACACCAGUAGCGAAGGCGGCGAUCUGGACGGAUACUGACGCUGAGGUGCGAAAGCGUGGGGAGCAAACAGG